GGAAUAUGGGCCAGGAAUGUCUGCUGCACAUAUUUUUGAUAAUUAAAAACGAGGAUAGCAGUCUUUUUACAUGUUGAUAAGGUUAAUCAAGGCAACGUCAUUGCAGUUGUCAAAAAAUCCUGAUUAUUCUCCUGCACUCCAUUCAUUGUGAAUCUUUGCUUUGAACACAGGGGAGCUUCUGGACCUACAGGUACAACUAUAAUCUGAUUAUGUGUUUUUCUACUUGAAGAGACUACGUUUUUAACUAGUAAGGCUUAAGACAGAUUUCAGUUUUUAUUAAUUCUCAAGAUUAAGAACAGAUAGCGGCAACAUGUCAUGAGUUUCAUUAAUGCAAAAUGGGAACCAAAGUUUUGUUCUUAUUUUUAAAAAUAAUAGUGAUAAUAAUAAUAUAACUAGGCAGUAAAUAAAUAAAAAAUCUGAAUCCAGAGCCCUUUGUUAAGUAAAACAUAACAGAAAGAAAUCAGGGUAGAUGCCGGCCAACAUUCGGAUUAAUAAAGUGUGAACGUACCACUCUUGCAUGCAGAUUAGCAAGAAUUAGCAAUCAUAUAGAUGAGUAUAGUAAGUUUUAACCUAUUUGCUGUUACCCUCCCAAAUCCUAUUUUGCUCAGGGCACACCUCCAUUUUACAACUAGUUAAUAAAGAAUACUAUAAUUUAAAGUUCAUGUUUCUAUGGUAACAACCAAUUAUAAAUGCAAUCUGAAGAGAUGGAAGGAAGCUGCCAAAACUCUUAAGGAAAAAAAACAUGAUCUGGGUUGGCAACCCACAAGAAAUGUUGCUUGAUAAGGGCUUUUGCCAGCUUCCCCUAGCAUUGGCCUGCAAGUUUAUAUCUGAACAAACAUCUUGCACCCAUUUUCUAAGCACUGCAUCUGUAAUACAUUCUAAAAGGAUAAUUGUGUCUGGGGCUCAACAUAUGUGAUGGUGAGGCAGGAAAAAAUUCGCACUUUUUUUGGUAUAAUUUCUCGCAUAUGUUUCUUAUAACUUCAUGGCACUAACAUCAACACUAGAGAGAGAAAAGAACCUUAAGUGGGCUAGCUUUUUUCAGAAGCAUAUUCCUAAGUUUUACCUUAAAUAUUCUUAUGUUCAUUGUUUAUACAUAACAAUGGAUAAUGGUAACAUUUAUGGAGAUAAUAAUUAUAGAACUUAAAUAAAAUGUUAGCCAUCAAUUGGGAGUUUUAAUGUUUAACAUAUGUAUACCUGAUUACAUAUAUAUCUUAAUAUAACACUGUGAUUACAUAUGUAUCUUAAUAUCUUCUUCUUAAUCACUCUGUAUAUGAUUGUGCUUUGUUUUCAGGAAGCUCAAUAUGCACACAUAAGGCAUUUCCAAAA
rnacentral:lncRNA from 10 species